rnacentral:lncRNA from 1 species
GCAACGAAUAAUCCUGGUGUUAAGAUGGCCACUUGCUAUCCUGUAAGGGCGAGAAGAAGAAGUUCUCGUUAAUUGACCAUUACCAGUGGUCAGGACGAGCCCGCUUGGCAUGCCACAGGUAGCAGUGGAAUGAGCGUCCAGCGAUGCUCAUCGGACUUCUAAAGUGGUAGGAUCCCCGGCAUCGCCGUCAGAGGUCCUUAGGACAAUGACAGGUGUCGGUGGGCCCAAACACUUAGGGGGUUCUGCCACAAUAGUGAUAAAAGAAUAUGAUCCUGGAACCAAAGGGACUCUUGUUUCAGCUAGAUAGGAUAAUUUAGAUCUACACUACUACACAGCUGUUUAACCGUGACAGGCACUUUACGUUUACCGCAGCGGGCAUUGGCUUCCGCCACGAAUGAAAGGUCACGGUUAAUCAUGGCCUC